rnacentral:rRNA from 1 species
AUGGCGUUUGCAGGCGCUGAACGCGGCCUGUGUCCGGGCCGUGCCGGCCCGUUGGGCAGGUUCCAGGUGAAUGGCAGCCUUGACUACUGGCUGCAUCAGCAGGAGGGGGAAAAGAUGGGCAUUGCCAUCGGGGUGGACAAAGGGAUCUGCCACUUGCACCACGGCUGCAAUAAGCCGAUUGCCCAGCACAACAUCUUGCUUCAUCAGAAUUUCAAGGCCCUGAUAUAG